rnacentral:rRNA from 1 species
GUGAGGAAUAUUGGUAAAUGGGCGCAAGCCUGAACCAGCCAUGCCGCGUGCAGGAAGACGGUCCUAUGGAUUGUAAACUGCUUUUAUUUGGGAAUAAACUCCGGUACGUGUACCGGCCUGAAGGUACCAAAUGAAUAAGCACCGGCUAACUCCGUGCCAGCAGCCGCGGUAAUACGGAGGGUGCAAGCGUUAUCCGGAAUCAUUGGGUUUAAAGGGUCCGCAGGCGGUCUUAUAAGUCAGUGGUGAAAGCCUACAGCUCAACUGUAGAACUGCCAUUGAUACUGUAGGACUUGAAUUCGAUCGAAGUGGGCGGAAUGUGACAUGUAGCGGUGAAAUGCUUAGAUAUGUCACAGAACACCGAUAGCGAAGGCAGCUCACUAGGUCUGGAUUGACGCUCAGGGACGAAAGCGUGGGGAGCAAACAGGAUUAGAUACCCGAGUAGUCC